GUCUAACGUACGAGUCCCAAAUAGGACGAAACUCGCGUCCUGGAC
rfam:Schistosoma haematobium scaffold16_27, whole genome shotgun sequence.